UUAUGCUGCGAAUAAUAGAGAAUGUGAGUUUCUAACAUAAGUGACAAAAUGUUUUCGGGAGUUGAAAAUAAGCAUAGAUCCGGAGAUUUUCGAAUAGGCCAACCUUUCGAACUGUUGCUAAAUCCAUGGGCUGACAAGAGACAACCUGGCGAGUUGAAUCAUCUUAGUAGCAGACAACCUGGCGAGCUGAAUCAUAGUCGUGCUGUAAGCGCGAAACAGUUUGAAUGCUACACCCUAGAUGGCGAACGUCCAGUAGCCGAAAGCGUCACUAGCUUACGCUCUGACCUUACUAGCAUGGAACAUGUGGAAUUUCGUGUGAAUCAACAAGGACCACCUUGCAAGGCUAAAUAAUCCUGGGUAACCGAUAGCGAAGUAGUACCGUGAGGGAAUGGCGAAAAGUGAAUAAUAGAG
rnacentral:ncRNA from 1 species